rnacentral:lncRNA from 1 species
AUCCAUUUAUCCAGUGUGACACUUUCUCUUUAGUCCUUAAAGGUAGGGCACAAGAGGUUACGAGGUUGAGUAAUUUGCCCAUAUCCUACAGCUAAUGAUGGGGUGGGGGGGCGCGAAUCCUUGGCACAUGCUUUGAACCAUGGUGGGAUUACUGGUGGCCAGUGUCAGGAACCAGCCAAAGCAGAUAUCCAGUGAGCAAGAUACCAGGAUUUUUCUGGGUACAAUGGAAUUGACCAAUAUUUGCACUCCUAGGGAGGAGUAAUGAGCAGGCAGGUGUGGACAAACACUGCAGAAGAGCCUCCCCUGGGAAGGACAUAAUCCAGAACACAAAGCUCCCCAGAAAAGAAAGGCAGAAGGGGUCAAAGAAGUGAUGGUGGAAGACGAGGCCUGAGAGAUAGGAGGCAUGAAAAGGACUGGAUCCACUGUUUCUGGCUUUGAAGAUGGAGGCCUGGAGAAUUCUGUCUUCAGGACAGAGCUUCGAACAGGAACAGAAACUAUAGAAGAGGAGAAGGGAGGACAGAAAGGAAUAGGAUUGAGGAAGGAGAAGGAAGAGGAUGAAAGGAGCCAGUAUUUACUGAGUGCUUGCUUACCAGGGCUUAUGAUCUUUGCAAGAUAUGUAUCGGGAAGAUGUCUGUCUGGGUGGUUGAAGGCCUUUCAGUCUAAUAGUGACAGAGAUUAACCCCUGCCAAUCAGAGGUCAAUAGAAAGUGGGUAAACUCUGGCUGGAGGCCAUGCUGAGUUCAUUGGAGACAGAAAAAAAAAAAAAAGGACAAAGGACCAAGAAAAUAACAACAGGAAUAGAAAACAUGUUCUCUCCAAAUACCUUCUCUCCUCCUCUCAGUCCCCCAAAGCAAUGGAACAAUUCCGUUUUUCCCUUUAAUAUGGGGAGUAGAAGACAAAAGAAAACUAUAUGGUAGUGGGCAUGAAUGUAGAAUAGAAUUCCUUUAAGUCUCACAGAAAUAUUCAAAUGGAGGAGAAAGCGGAUAGAGGAUAUAAAGGAGAAUAAGCAGACAUCCCUCCAAUGUGCCUUUCUCAAACACUUCACUUCUGAUAUUUACCCAUGUUUCAUAUUUCUACACACAUAAGCUGGUUAUGUGGUAGCUCUAUAGAUUUGUUAUAUUGUUCAAUGGCAAGGUUCCCAAAAAGAGCUAGGGAGGAACAGAAUGUUGAGCCAGAAGUUUUCCCUGGCAUAAAGCUUUACAUUAUUACUUUAAUAAAGAAAUGAGAAGAUAGGGGCCAGGGAUUUAGCUCAGUGGCACUGCACCUACCUGGCAAGUGCAAGGUCCUGAGUUUGAUUCCUGGUACCAAAAAAAAAGAGAAAUGAGAAGACAGCAAAUGCACCGAAAAUACUCCUUAAUAUUCACAGUGAGAUCCCUGGUAGAAGGUGUUGGUGCCUUUUCCAAAAAAUAUUUGUACAUAUGUGUAUGGCCAUGGUCAUAUAAGUUGGCACUGUACUUUUAGAAAGUACGAUGAGUAUGAUGAGGUACAAAAUUUUUUGUGUGUUUAUUUGGGGUUCUUUUGUUUCAGGGAUCGAACUCGGGACCUUGUGCUUACAAGGCAGACAGUGGAACCACUGAGCUAAAUCCCCGGCCCUGAGGUACAAAAUUUUUAAUGUAUUUGAUCCAAUAAACUUUUAAAGGAAAGAACAUACAAGCAGUAAGACAUGCACAAGUUUUUAUGACUAUGAAACAUCAAAAGCAAUCACAAUAUUCAACAUCUAGGAAUAAAUAAGUAAACUGCUAUCCAUUCAGGUGAUGGAAUAUGAUACAGCCACUAUAAUUAGUAGUGUGGUGAAGCCAGCCCAUAGUGCCUUAAGAGAGCCAACUGUGUGCAUGCACUCUUCCAAAUUCUGCAUUCAAUGAUGAAUAAUGUCAGUAGCAUUAAAUCAGCCAUGGUUGGGAUAUUUACACCAGGGAAACUGGAAAACAGCCCCAUUCCUAGAGCUCAAGCUAUCAAAUAUUUAUCAGGACACCAUUGCUAAUAGUGUUAUAUAAGCUGAAUACAAAGUUGUAUGUAUAUUAUUGCCAUAACAAUAAACAUGAAACAAUAAAAAUGAAUAUGAAUAAAAAUAAAAUAUAGAAGACAAUAUAGAAAAAUUGGAAAAAAGAUUAUUGUUGAUAAAUUAUUUCUUUGGUAGCUGGGCAUGGUGGCACACACCUGUAAUCCCAGCACUCCAGAGGCUGAGAAAGGAAAAUUGCUCUGAGUUCCAAGCCAGCCUGGACUACAGAAUAAGUUCAAGGCCAGUCUGAACUACAAAGUGAGACUUUGUCUCAAAAAACCAAAAUAAAACAAUCAUUUCUUUGCUUUUCAAUUUUUUGGGGGGUACCAGGGAUUGAACUCAGGACCUUGUGCUUGUGAGGCAGGCGGUGGAACCACUGAGCUAAAUCCCCAGCAUUCUUUGCUUUUCAAUUUUAAGUUCUGUUUACUGCU